GGGCCGGUAGCUCAAUGGUAGAGCAGGUGGCUCAUAACCACUUGGUCGGAGGUUCGAUUCCUUCCCGGCCCA
rfam:Omnitrophica WOR_2 bacterium RIFCSPHIGHO2_02_FTLL_67_20 rifcsphigho2_02_scaffold_13079, whole genome shotgun sequence.